GUGUCAGCAGCCGCGGUAAUACGAGAGGCCCAAACGUUAUUCGGAUUUACUGGGCUUAAAGAGUUCGUAGGCGGUCUAGCAAGUGAGGUGUGAAAUCCCUUGGCUCAACCAAGGAAUUGCGCUUCAAACUGCUAGGCUCGAGGGAGAUAGAGGUGAGCAGAACUGAUGGUGGAGCGGUGAAAUGCGUUGAUAUCAUCAGGAAUACCAGAGGCGAAGGCGGCUCACUGGGUCUCUUCUGACGCUGAGGAACGAAAGCUAGGGGAGCAAACGGGAUUAGAAACCCGCGUAGUCC
rnacentral:rRNA from 1 species